GGUUUCAAGCUUUUCGAUUUAUUUCUGUCGACCAAUUGUGUUUGAUUCGGCAAUGGAUAGCAGCAGUUGGAGGGCGCCUCAAGGCCAGAUGGCUCAGGGUCCUCCUCAAGGUGGUCAAGCAGGCGGCAGUGGAGAAGUAUCGGCUGUCCCAAAUGCACCUCCGCCGGCUACUAUUGACAGCGGCGAUUGGAGGACUCAACUCCAAGCUGAUUCUCGUCAAAGAAUCGUAAAUAAGAUAAUGGAGACUUUGAAGAGGCAUCUGCCAUUCUCUGGACAAGAGGGACUGCAAGAACUUAAGAAAAUUGCUGUGAGGUUUGAGGAAAAGAUUUAUACUGCAGCAACUAGCCAGUCAGAUUAUUUGAGAAAGAUAUCUUUGAAGAUGCUGACAAUGGAAACUAAGUCCCAAAAUCCCAUGGCUAAUCCUUUACAAGCUAAUGCUGCCAAUGCAAGCAAAAAUCCUCCAGACCAAGCUGUCCAUGGCAUGCAAUCCCAAAUUCAGAACCAGCAACAUCCCAUGCCAGUGGUGAGCAGCCAAUCACAAUCCCGACAACAGCUGUUACCGCAAAACAUGCAGACUAAUAUGACAUCAACUGGAGUCCAGAAUUCUGCUAUUUUGGCUUCUACACUUCCAACUGCUGGUAAUUUGCAGCAGGCUCCCAUGCCUAAUAUUGGUCAGAACUCCAAUUUGCAGAACAUGCAGAGUGUUCCCAGUGUUUCUCAGAACCCAGUAGGGAGUUCCAUGGGACAGGUGAUGCCUUCAAAUGUUUUCACUAAUUCUCAAAGACAGAUGCAGGCUAGACAACAACAGGUUGUUCCCUUGCAGCAACAACAGCAGACACAGAAUCCACAGCAUUAUCUUUAUCAACAACAGCUGCAGCAUCAGUACAUGAAACAAAAGUUACAACAAGGAGGAGCAAUGGCACAGCCCCUUAUGCAAUCUCAUAUCCAGCAGCAGCAGCAGCAGCAAAACCUUUUGCAACCAACUCAAAUUCAAACCUCCCAGCAAGCUGUUAUGCAGCCAUCUGUAAUGCAGUCAGCUCCUCUAUCUGGCCUCCAGCAGAAUCAACAGUCUUCUAUGCAACAAGUGACUCAACCAGUAAUUCAGCAGCAGUCUCAAGCAGUUUUGAGGCAGCAGCAGCAGCAACAGCAACAACAGCAGCAACAGUCACAACAGGCUUCCAUGUUGCAUCAGCAGCAAACCUCCAUGGCUCAACAGCCAUUACUGCCUGCAGCACAGCAGCCGCAGCAACAGCAGCAGCAGCUGAUUGGGCAGCAGCCUGGUGCUACAAAUAUUCAACACAACCAGCUGAUUGGCCAACAGAAUAGCAUGCCUGAUAUGCAGCAACAGCAACAAAGGCUGAUAGGCCAGCAGAACAAUAUGCAGCAGCAGCAGCUAAUAGGUCAACAGAACAGCCUUUCGAGUAUGCAUCAACAACAGUUGGCCCCUCAAAGUAGCGUUUCUGGGCUCCAUCAGCAGUCAAUGCGAGGGACUCAACCUGGUAACUCUGCCAUGCCGACAAGUCAGCAUUCUGUCGUCAUGUUACAGCAAUCUAAGGUUGCGGUACAGCAACAAAUGCAGCAGAAUGCAACAGCAUUGCUACCAAGCCAAAAUCAACAGCCACAGCAACCGCAGCAGCAGAUGGUAUCACAGAUUCAAGCACAACCAGGGGGCCUACAACAUAUGCAGCAGCAGUCAAAUGCGUUGCAAAGAGAUAUGCAGCAAAAGAUUCAACCUACAGGUUCUUUGCUUCAACAGCAGAAUGUUGUAGAACAGCAGAAGCAGUUAUUUCAGCCACAAAGAGCCCAUCCUGAGGCAUCAUCAACUUCGUUAGAUUCAACAGCUCAGACGGGGAAUGCAAGUGGUGGAGAUUGGCAGGAGGAGGUUUAUCAAAAGAUUAAAUCCAUGAAGGACAUGUAUUUCCUGGAAUUAAAUGACAUGUACAUGAAAAUUGCUGGAAAGCUGCAACAGCAUGAUUCUCUUCCUCAACAACCGAGAAAUGAGCAGAUUGAAAAGCUCAAAUUCUUUAAGCUCAUGCUGGAACGCCUAAUAGGAUUCUUGCGAUGUACCAAGAAUGACAUUCAGAUCAGUCACAAGGAGAAGUUGGCUUCCAUUGAAAAACAGAUAAUCAAUAUUCUUUCUACAAAUCGGCCCCGGAGGCCCGUUUCUUUGCAACAAGUGCAACUUGCCCAACAGCAAAUGUCCAACAUGCAGCACUCUCAGCCUCAGACUCAAAUUCCUCAAAUGCAGCCCCAGGAAAAUCAAAUGAACCAACAGAUGCAGCCAAUGAAUGUACAGAGUUCCAUAACACCAAUGCAGCCAAAUAGCUUGACCAGCCUGCAACAGAACACAUUGUCCUCUGUGCCACCAGUUUCGAAUUUGCAACAGAAUAUGAUGAGUACCCUACAGCCUGCUUCGACUUUGGACCCAGGACAAAGUAAUACUCACCCGUUGCAGCAGGUAGCUAUAAGCUCUUUACAGCAGAAUACUGCCAGUGGUCCUCAAACAAUGAACAUAAAUUCUUUAUCAUCGCAAAGUGGCUUGACUGCGCUGCAAUCAAACCUCAUUAAUGCUCUACAGCCUAAUUCGACUAUGAUUCAUAACCAGCAGCUAAAACAACAGGAGCAGCAAAUGUUGCAAACCCAGCAAUUGAAACAACAAUUGCAUCCCCGUCAGCUGCAGCAGCAGCUUUUGCAAAGACAACAGCUAAUGCAACAACAGCAGCAGCAACAACAACAGCAGCUGCAGCAGCAACCACAACAGCACCAACAAAUGAAGCCACAGCAGCAGCCUUCACAGCUGCCUGGACACCAAAUGUCACCACUACAUCAGGUAACUGAUUCAAGUGACUUGAAGGUGAGACCGCAGAUAAGUGUUAAAACAGGUGUUUUCCAGCAACACCAUACCAACAGCCAGCGAGCGGCGUAUCAUCACCAACAGUUGAAGUCGGGAAGCCCAUUUCCUAUUUCUUCACCACAAGUCCUUCAGGCAGCAUCGCCUCAGGUUCCCCCGCAUGCUUCCCCUCAAAUUGAUCAGCAGAGUAUGCAGACGUCUAUAGCAAAAACUGGAACUCCACUGCAGGCUGCAAAUUCACCCUUUGUGGUCCCAUCUCCUUCGACUCCCUUGGCUCCAUCACCUAUGCCUAGCGAGUCAGAAAAACUAAAUUCUGGCAUUUCAUCCCUCUCAAAUGCUGGAAAUAUUGGACCCUCGCAUGCAACUACUGUGUCUGCAGCAGCCCAAUCACUAGCAAUUGGCACUCCUGGGAUAUCAGCUUCGCCAUUGCUUGCGGAAUUUACGAGUUUGGAUGGAGCUCAUGUCAACACAUCAACUGCAUUGCCCUGCAAGCCACAUACUGUAGAGAAGCCACAUGAACGGUUGAUUAAAGCGGUACAAUCAAUUUCAAAUAAAGCAUUGGUUGCCUCCGUUGAUGAUAUAAGCUCAGUUGUCAGUAUGGUUGAUAGGAUAGCUGGAUCUGCACCAGGCAAUGGAUCAAGAGCUGCUGUUGGUGAGGAUUUGGUCGCAAUGACAAAAUGUCGCUUGCAAGCAAGAAACUUUUUCACACAAGAUGGACCGACUGGAACAAAGAAAAUGAGGCGCUCUACGAGUGCAAUGCCUUCCAAUGUUGUUUCAUCUGUUGGUAGUGUGAAUGACAGUAUGAGGCAGUUAAACAGUUCUGAUGCCUUUGAAUUGGAAUCCACAGCUACAUCAAGUAUCAGAAGGCCAAGGAAUGAGGUUUUUCCAUUUCCUUGUCCAUCAUUAUUGAUCUAAAACAAUUGAGCCAAUGCAUAUUUUGUAUAUGUGGAAGUUACUACCUCCAUGUUUGCUUAGGAUUGCAAGCUAUAUGCUUUUCUUAUCUUACUCCAUGGUAGAUUAACUAAUGGUGAAGGGAAGCUAACCGUCUCAUUCCGUCUAAAAUUUGAUGAUGUUAGAAGAGAUGUUAGCACAUCUAGUUUUAGAAUCUUACAUGCUUCCUUUUGUCAGGAUCUGAUAUGUUUGCUUUCCCAAAAUGCAAUAGACAAUGUGAUGUAGAACUGCAACCCAGGAUUCACUGUAUCUACAUUGAAGUUGUCCGGAGCACCUUGUGGCUCUGAAGGAGAUAUGCUAUGCUAUUUGCCUCCCUCCCAUUUUUGGAAUUAAAACCUGUGGGAAUUGUUUGAACAUAUUAAUGGUCUCUUUACGUGGCAUAAUUCUCUUGCAAGUUGGCAAUUCAAUAUUUUUAAGUUUUCAAUCUCCUGAAUCACUUCUUUGUAUUAUUGAUUUUCAAAAUCAGGUUUUGGCUCUUCUCCUCCUCUUUUAUUCUUCUGCUGCUUUCCUCUCAUAUAUUCUUGUUCUCUGCCAUGGGCCAAGGCAAUGAGGAUACGUUUCCAGGCUGCUGGUUUGUGGCAUCUUUGAUUCUUUGUUGCAGCCUCUUGGUUUUAUUUGCUUUAGUUGAUCAUAGCAUUACUAUGUAAUGCUCUGCUUUGGUGCUUUAUAAACUGGUAAGCCUGGAAUAAAACAUACUAGUGUUCAAGGCACACACUAAUGUUUGUGCAACCAGUAGGAAGAAUAUUAUUAAAAUUUUUGGGUAUAUUUGUCGAAAUCAUUUUCAGGAGAGUUGGUUUUAUAUUUUUGAUGAUAUAAUAGUAGAAAAUUCACCAAAAUAGUGUUUAAAUGGAUAGUUAUUUGGUAACCAUAAUUAGGAGUUGCUAAUAAAAAUUAGGGUUUAUAAAUAAGUGGAAAUUAAAAUAAGAAGAAAUACAUGGUACUUUGUAAGAGGAGAUGCGGUAGCGGUUUAGGAAGAAGAUAAGGUGACACAAAAUUGUUUACACUAGAAGUCCCCUCCCCCUAUAUAGCAUAGAUUUCUGUUCUGAACAGGAAAGUUUAUUGUUUUUAAACAAAUACCAAUCAACAUGAAGUCUGAAAAUCAUCACGCUGAUUUUCUGUUAUCCAUUCUUAGUCAUCUGAAACUAGCAUAGCUUAUUAGAUGUGUCUGGCAUCCAAGCCAGUUGUGGAUGUUUUUGUGUGUUUAGUGUAGAUGCCUCUGCAGAUGCUUAUCAUUGGACUUAUGUGGAUUUGAUGCACUUAGUUACUGAUCGAACAAUUUGUGACUGGUUGAAGGCCAACCAUGCCCUUGUGGAAGAGAUACAUGAGAUAAAUCGACACCUCAUAGAUACUGUGGUUGAUAUCAGCGAUGAAGAUGUUGAUCCAAUUGCAGUAGCUGCAGCUGAUGGUGGUGAAGGGACCAUUGUCAAGUGCUCUUUCAGUGCUGUAGCUCUUAGCCCAAACCUGAAAUCACAGUAUGCUUCAGCACGGAUGUAAAGAGUAUGAAGAUCUUUCUAUUAAAGCCAGGUCCAAGUUCAGUAUAUCACUGAGAAGUCUUUCACAGCCUAUGUCACUUUCGGAGAUGGCAAGGACGUGGGACAUUUGUGCUCGUGCAGUUAUUUCAGAAUUUGCACAACAAAGUGGUGGAGGAACUUUCAGCUCAAAAUAUGGGACUUGGGAGAACUGUGUGAGUGCAGUUUAGUGAUCAGCGGUAUUUCAAGUGGAACUACAGGAAUUAGAAUGAUAAUGAUUUGGACAAUCGUACUUUCAGCUGUUUCUUUUCAAUGAAGUUUGCAUUGAUCAUGAUUGUUUAUAGCUUCUCAAUGAAGGUUGUAGAACCCAAUGGCAGUAGAGAUACAAAACCAUCUAGUAUACAAUUGGGAAGGUAAAACUUUGUACUGCAUGUGAGUAUUCUGAGUGUCAGUUGAGUAAUUAUUCUAAAUAGUGCUAAAUGCUGAAUUUAUUGC